AGAAGCGGCGUACGGGUGCGGAGCACGUGUGCACUAGCCUUUAUCUGGGGGAUAGCCUUUCGAAAGGAAGAUUAAUACCCCAUAAUAUGUUGAAUGGCAUCAUUCGACAUUGAAAACUCCGGUGGAUAGAGAUGGGCACGCGCAAGAUUAGAUAGUUGGUGAGGUAACGGCUCACCAAGUCUACGAUCUUUAGGGGGCCUGAGAGGGUGAUCCCCCACACUGGUACUGAGACACGGACCAGACUCCUACGGGAGGCAGCAGUGAGGAAUAUUGGACAAUGGGUGAGAGCCUGAUCCAGCCAUCCCGCGUGAAGGACGACUGCCCUAUGGGUUGUAAACUUCUUUGUAUAGGGAUAAACCUACCCUCGUGAGGGUAGCUGAAGGUACUAUACGAAUAAGCACCGGUUAACUCCGUGCCAGCAGCCGCGGUAAAUACGGGAGGGUUGCAAGCGUUAUCCCGGAUUAUUGGGGGUCUUAAAGGGUUCCGGAGGGCGGGAAUCCUGGUAAAGNGUUCAGGUGGGUUGAAAAUUCUUCCAAGGUUUUAAAUUGGUGGAAAUUGGCCAUUGGGAUUCUUGGGAGGGUCUCUUGGAAUGUUGGUUGG
rnacentral:rRNA from 1 species